rnacentral:rRNA from 1 species
AUUGAACGCUGGCGGAAUGCUUUACACAUGCAAGUCGAACGGCAGCACGGGGGCAGCCCUGGUGGCGAGUGGCGAACGGGUGAGUAAUACAUCGGAACGUGCCCGGUCGUGGGGGAUAACAUAGCGAAAGUUACGCUAAUACCGCAUACGAUCUGAGGAUGAAAGCGGGGGACCUUCGGGCCUCGCGCGAUCGGAGCGGCCGAUGUCAGAUUAGGUAGUUGGUGGGGUAAAGGCCUACCAAGCCGACGAUCUGUAGCUGGUCUGAGAGGACGACCAGCCACACUGGGACUGAGACACGGCCCAGACUCCUACGGGAGGCAGCAGUGGGGAAUUUUGGACAAUGGGCGCAAGCCUGAUCCAGCCAUUCCGCGUGCAGGACGAAGGCCUUCGGGUUGUAAACUGCUUUUGUACGGAACGAAAAGGCUCUGGCUAAUACCUGGGGCUCAUGACGGUACCGUAAGAAUAAGCACCGGCUAACUACGUG